GGCUGCGUAGCUCAGUUGGCUAGAGCAAUCGGUUCAUACCCGAUCGGUCGCUGGUUCAAGUCCUGCCGCAGCCA
rnacentral:tRNA from 1 species